UUCUGUACAAGUGAAUUGGCUACCCAUUCCAGGGGCCAGUUACUACACUAUUUAUUACAACAGUGUAUAUGAUGAUUCAAUGAAUGUUAGCAAUGAAACAAAUCAAAGUAUUAUAUCAGGACUAUACUCAUGCCUCAGUUACUCAUUUGAGAUGUCAAUGACUGUAGAAAUAAAUGGAAAUUAUUAUGAAGGACCUAGAACUGAACCAACAGUUAUUUGUACAGAAGACGUACCAACAGUGAAUCCUUCAACUUACACUUCAACUUACAGUAAAACAAUAACUAUGACAUCUCCUACUUCAACACCGAGUGGUGUUUUC